rnacentral:tRNA from 1 species
GGAGGCGUGGCUGAGUGGUUGAAGGCACCGGUCUUGAAAACCGGAAUCCGAGCAAUCGGAUCGGAGGUUCGAAUCCUCCCGCCUCCGCCA